rnacentral:tRNA from 2 species
GGCGCAUUCGUCUAGUGGCCCAGGACGCCGGCCUCUCACGCCGGUAGCAGGGGUUCAAAUCCCCUAUGCGCUACCA